rnacentral:tRNA from 3 species
GGUGAGAUGUCCGAGUGGCUGAAGGAGCACGCCUGGAAAGUGUGUAUGCGCGAAAGUGCAUCGAGGGUUCGAAUCCCUCUCUCACCG